UUGCAGCCAAUUAAGCUGACCAAGUCCCUUUCCCCAUGGGGCUUGGUGUACACUGAUGACAACCUGCAGCUGCCUUGGGAGUGUAUGCAGCCUGAUGCCUAUAUAGGCUGCACAGAGGGACCUUGGAGACAAUU